ensembl:lncRNA
CCCCUGUUCCAAAUAAGGUCCCAUUGUGAGGUACUGAGAGUUAGGACUUCAACACAUGAUUUUUGAGGGAGCGCAGUGAGAUCCACAACACAGUCACGCUGUGUGCCUUUCUGCAUGAUUUCUGUGUCCAGGACCUUGGCUUUCUCCUGCUUUCCUCUUCCUUAUAUCACACAGUUCUGGUUCCAAACUAGUAUUUAGUAAACCCACACCCACAGGUCACCUAUGGCAGUGCUCCGUAUUCUGAGCACAGCUGACUUCCCACCUUACAGUUCAGGCCCUGUGCUCUGGGAAGAAAGGAAGUUUGCUGUCUUAGGAACAUCCCAGACGAUAAGGAGCUAAGAGAACAACUUGUCUGAAGGACCCUUUGAUGACCCACUCAUCCUUCCUACACUCACGCUGUCUUUGCUUGUGUCUCCUUACUCACCGACUUUUCCUCUUAGCAAAUUCCUUCAGACAAAGAGUCUCCUACCUCCUUAAGCCCAGCCCGCCCCAAGAGAGGAUCUCGCAGGCAGGCCAUGCAUAGAGAUGAUCAGCAUGGGCACCGCAGAGCAAGGUUAAUGAAGAGAAGUUUUAAUUCUAUGGCCAUCUCCACACCCCCUCUCCAUUUAUAUUUUCAACAUAUGGCUGGCUUUUUAAUGUCGCUUUAAUGUUUUCUCUUGUAUUUAAUUAUUUAAAGAUUUAAUAAGAAACUGCUGAGAAUCAAUUGCACACAAGGGACACAUUUCUUUGAAUUUUUGUUCUUUUUUCUCUGCUUUUGCAUAAGAGUUAAUUUAAGUCAUUGGAAACUAAAAACACAAAGCUAAAAGGGGGAAAGAAGAGAACAACGUAAAGGCAUUCAGAAAAGGAUAUCUGUAGGUGAAAUCAAACCCCCAACGGCAUGUGAUGUGUAUCUCUUAUCAGCACUAGGCAGUGGCGAUAACCAAGGAACCCAAAACAAAUCACUUUCAUUCCAUUCGUGUCUAAUAAUAGAAAGUCAGUAGCUUAUAUGUCAAAAAUUUUCUUUUUAAAAUAAAUUCCUUUUGGGGUUGGUUCUGUGUGUUGGGGGCAAGGAAAUGGAAGGAUAUUCACCACUACAGGGGUCUAGUUUUAUUGACAGAGAAAGGGAAUUUUUAUAUCACUUUCAGAAUUUUAAAUGGUUUGUUGCUGAAUAUUUUAGGAUCUCCUUUCCACAUUUAUAACUAUUAUCUGAAUGAACUAAUCCAGUUAAGAAGGCAUUCAUUCAUUAACAUAUUCUGCUUAUGUGUUCUGAAUGACCAACUUUGCCAGACAAUAUGCCAGGUAUGAAGGAUCCAACCAGAAGAAAUGCCAACUCGACCCCUGCUUUCAUAGCCACUCACACCCACCCUUGGGGAGCAGAGUCACAAAGGACAGUUAUCGUGCGUGUGCUCUGAUGUGGGAAGGACAGGAUACUACAGAAGCCAAGGGAAAGGCACUCAAUCCAGAUUGGAAGGAAAGGGAAAUGCUUCCUGGAAGAAGACAUGGCUAUCACGAGACCUGAAAAAUGAAUAGGAACACAAAUGAUGAAGUGUGACCUCUGUUAUGUUCAUUUUGUCAAACUCUGUCAUAAACCUGAAAAUCAGCAUCAACAUGAUCUUCAUCAUCUUCAAACAGCACAUGGUAACAAGGAGUUGAUAUGGUCUGUGAUUUGCUGCAGGACAGCAUCCACAACAAACUGCGAACCACAGCACGGUGUAACAGAGUAGCCUCAAAUUUCCAUCAAAGGAAUGAGUUGUCUGAGGAAGCAAUGUGUUCCUCAUCCUUUAAGAGACUGAGGCAGCAAGGAGAAUGUUGGGGAAAGGAACUUUGGGCUGAAUUGAAGGUCAUCUCCGUGGAAUCGCCUCCGGCUGAGUUCAGUCCUCUCAGUAUGUUCCUUACUGCUGCCCUUCCAGGCUGUGCCACAACCACCCUCAUCCCUGCAGUCCAAAACACAAGAACUGGACACGUUUAACCUCCAAGAAAUACAAAUAGUGCCUAAUUCCAAGAGCUUUGGUGACCAUGAGCAAAAAAGAUGGAGUAAUAAAAGAGUCAAGGACCACACGGAGGCGACAUUUCCAGCCACCUGGCAUUGAGACACAGUCUUGUCCUGGAAUGUGCACAUCACCACUUUCUUUAAAGACCACAAAACCCUCCCAUUUUUGAUUUUUCCCUUUCUCUCCCCAUCCGCUGGCUGAAUGUGGAGAAUUCUGAGGUCCUAAAAGGGGAUGAGGCUGGAAGAUGGCAGGCAUCUGGAUCUCAAAAGAUCACGCACAUGCUAACAAGGAGCACCCACAUUGAACCAUUAGAUAAAUAAGAAAUCCUUUCUCUACCGAGCUGGGAAGUUGUCUCCUGGGUGUUCCACAGCUAUUGUGCUCAGGUCACUCUAAAAGGCUAUCUAUCCUGGAGGAAGGUAGCACUGUAAAAGAGGAGAAAAAGUAAAAUAUAGUAGCCAUGAGAGUAACAAGCAAACACUCCCCCAAUGGACAAUGAAUGUGACAUUUCUCCUGGUCUGUAUGAUCAGCAUGAAUCAAUUGUGCUUUUGAAGACACGGCCCUAAUCCAUACAUGUUAACUUGAGGAUUUACCUUUCCUCACAACGGUAUAGACAACCUAAACCAUCUGGACUUGGAUGUGAAAUUGACGUGAUCAUACAAACAUAUUUCUGAGAAAGAGUUCAUAAGUUUCAUCAGAUUCACAAAGGGAUCUUCCACCCCAUCAUGAUCCUAUUACUCCCACCAGAAUACAGGGCAUACAUCCAUGGGCUUUCUGGUGGUUUGAGUUUAUUUCCCCACUCCUCCAAGGUGCUCUCUUCAAUUGUCUGCAAGGCUCCAUCACCCUAUUUCAGAGCACGCUGAGGAAGAAAGGGUGUCAAACCAAAUGCAGAAGAACUAAUAAGAAACCCAUGAAAUUGCUCACAAAGGCCUCCUUCUGUGGCUCUUCGUGCAAAU